GCAAUAUAUAACCAUUAUGGUGAAACUCAACCGUCGUCUUCCUGUCCUCUAAAGGCCUUUCUCGUGAAUGUAUUGAGUGUAAUAAAUAAAUAAAUAAAUAAAGAGCAUUAGUUAGUUGAGAGGUGACGGUGUGUACUGGAAAAGGAGGAUGUUUGUGAAUGAUGUGGAAGACCGGAUGUGAGCGAGUGUGGUGUGUGUAGUGGUGUGUGUCCUGCUGUUGAAUUGAAACCGUUGGACAGACACUUUGCUUUCGUGUGCCGAUCGCACAGCAAAGCAUUUUCCUUUUUCCAAACACACAGUUCU